GAUGAACGCUAGCGGCAGGCCUAAUACAUGCAAGUCGAACGGUGUAGCAAUACACAGUGGCGCACGGGUGCGUAACACGUAUGCAACCUACCUUACAUUGGGGGAUAGCCUUUCGAAAGGGAGAUUAAUACCGCAUAAGACAGUAACUAGGCAUCUAGUAGUUGUUAAAGAUUUAUCGAUGUAAGCUGGGCAUGCGUCCAAUUAGUUAGUUGGCGAGGUAAUGGCUCACCAAGACGAUGAUUGGUAGGGGAACUGAGAGGUCAAUCCCCCACACUGGCACUGAUAUACGGGCCAGACUCCUACUGGAGGCAGCAGUAGGGAAUAUUGGGCAAUGGGCGCAAGCCUGACCCAGCCAUGCCGCGUGCAGGAAGAAGGCGUUAUGCGUUGUAAACUGCUUUUAUACAGGAAGAAACGACCCUUGCGAGGGGCAUUGACGGUACUGUAUGAAUAAGCACCGGCUAACUCCGUGCCAGCAGCCGCCGUAAGAC
rnacentral:rRNA from 1 species